CGAAGCACAGAGGUUGACACACCGGAACUUUCCAAUUAUCCAGCAGGGGUACUGUUUCUUUACCCUUGUGGGUAAUAAUAUGGUAGCUAGACCUUCAAAAUUUAUGUGUCUAAACUUUGUUAGUGUUGUUUCUUUGCUAAUCUUUUACCCUUCUUGGUCAGAGUGAUGUAGUGGGAGCUGCAAGCUUCACGUGUCUCAACUUUGUCAGAGAACUUUGUCAGAGAACUUUGGCAGAGUUAUAUGUGGUACCCAUGAGCUACUGUUACGUGUGGGAAGUGGGUGAUUGAACAGUACGAUUCAUGUGAUUUCUACUUCGCCAGAAAUCUUCGACAGAAUGCCCAUAAUUUCCGCAAAGCUGAGUGUGCGUGUGACAAGUGCUGACAGGGCUGGAAAAGUAGGUGCCUCUUCGAUUUCUGAGAUCGGCCCUCGUGGUCUCUGAGCAGCCCAGCUUUUGAGAAAGCAAGCCUCUUCGAUUUCUGAGAUCGGCCUUCGUGGUCUUUGAGCAGCCCAGCUUUUGAGAAAGCACACGACUCUUCGAUUUCUGAGAUCGACCCUCGUGGUCUCUGAGCAACCUAGCUUUUGAGAAAGUAAACGCCUCUUCGAUUUCUGAGCAGGCGCCUCUUCGAUUUCUGAAGCUUCAUCGAGUGCAGAUUUUUAUAGGGGCUGACAUUAAGUUCCAAAGCACACUUGAAUAUCCACCAAUAGAAGCUCCAUUCUUGCACUUCUAAGAUCUUGAUUUGUCCGACCUCUUCUCUCUUCAACACCUUUGAAAAU
rnacentral:lncRNA from 1 species